rnacentral:rRNA from 1 species
AUUGAACGCUGGCGGCAGGCCUAACACAUGCAAGUCGAACGAGUGGCGGACGGGUGAGUAAUGUCUGGGAAACUGCCUGAUGGCGGGGGAUAACUACUGGACACGGUAGCUAAUACCGCAUACCAUCAGAUGUGCCCAGAUGGGUUUAGCUAGUUGGUGGGGUAACGGCUCACCAAGGCGACGAUCCCUAGCUGGUCUGAGAGGAUGACCAGCCACACUGGAACGGGGAAACGGUCCAGACGCCUACGGGAGGAAGCAGUGGGGAAUAGUGCACAAGGGGGGCAAGCCGGAUGCAGCCAGGCCGGGGGUAGGAGGAAGGCCUUCGGGUGGUAAAGUACUUUCAGCGGGGAGGCGUUACCCGCAGAAGAAGCACCGGCUAACUCCGUGCCAGCCGCCGCGGUAAUUC